UACGUAGGGUGCAAGCGUUGUCCGGAAUUAUUGGGCGUAAAGAGCUCGUAGGCGGUCUGUCGCGUCUGCUGUGAAAACUCAGGGCUUAACCCUGAGCUUGCAGUGGGUACGGGCAGACUAGAGUGCGGUAGGGGAGACUGGAAUUCCUGGUGUAGCGGUGAAAUGCGCAGAUAUCAGGAGGAACACCGGUGGCGAAGGCGGCAUCCUGGACCGGCAUUGACGCUGAGGCGCGGAAAAGCCCAGGGGGAGCAAAACGGGG
rnacentral:rRNA from 1 species